rfam:Astyanax mexicanus chromosome 4, whole genome shotgun sequence.
UAGAAAUAUUCUUGUAAGUCACUCUGGAUAAGAGUGUCAGCUAAAUGCCGUAAA